UUGCCAGCUGAGUGAACUGGAGAAAUAAGAAAUAAAGUGUCUUGCUCAAGGACACAAAGUACCGUCAGGAAUCAAACUCAUACCUUACAACCUCGAGCCAAAUACCCUAACCACUAUGCCAUGCUUUUUCGCAUUGUACCUAUAAUUCAUUAAGGUACAGCUUUGUCAAAUAUUUUAUCAGUCUGAUUCUACCUGAGAAUUACAUUGAAGCUACAUGUGUCGAUAGAAUGUUCAGACACAUAUGCAUUAGUUCAGGAGCAGGUAAUUGAGUUGACCAAUCGACUGAAUCCUCAUAAAUGAACGAGAGGCCCAUAUUGAGGCAGUGCCAAAUGGAUUCAUCACCACUGCAGUCUCAUGACAAUUUGCCAUUAAUGCAAUGCCAAACCAGUUUGGAGCCUGUGUUUGAUUCCAACACAAUGCCAAAAUUAUUUUGACAUCAUUAGUGUAAUGUAGAAAUAUUUUGGCUUCAGUGCAGUGUCAAUAUUAAGAGUACUUGGUACUAAAUUCAAUGUUGAAUUAACUUUGCAGUGGUGUGCUACUGAAAUAACUUUGCACCGGCCUUGUGAAAGUAAUUAUUUUACAUCAUUUUAGAGUUGAUAUUACAUACCAACCUUCCUGACAACUUCAUAUUUUUGUUGACAUGUUUUUACUAGAACAUACUUUUUGCUCAUGUCUCAUUCACCAAGUGUUGAGAUAUGUUACAUGGAUGCUCAUAUUAACAUGCAACAUUUCUUAUUUAUUGAUACAUCGCAUUCAUCAUUAACUACUGACUUAACACGAUAACACUUCUCAUUGGUCAAGUGUUGACUCCUCAUAUUGACUCAGCAUUGAAAUACCACUGGGAUAUAUUACAGAAAAUUCACAGUAAUUUAGUAUUAGCAAAUAUUACCAUAAGGAUGCAGUGCAUAGAUCCCAUGUUGAACUGAUGCAUACUAACUAGGUGUUGACUAUUUUAUAUUACUGUCAUGUGGCAUAUAAUAUGGAAUUUUUUGUGAGACUAGGAACAAGGUUAAAUUCAACACACACACACACACACACAUAUAUAUAUAUACACUGGAGUAAGUACAUAAAUGGGAAAGAAGGUGGAA